rnacentral:rRNA from 1 species
UACGUAGGGUGCAAGCGUUGUCCGGAUUUAUUGGGCGUAAAGAGCUCGUAGGCGGCUUAGUAAGUCGGGUGUGAAACCUCCAGGCUCAACCUGGAGACGCCACCCGAUACUGCUGUGGCUUGAGUCCGGUAGGGGAGCGUGGAAUUCCUGGUGUAGCGGUGAAAUGCGCAGAUAUCAGGAGGAACACCAGCGGCGAAGGCGGCGCUCUGGGCCGGAACUGACGCUGAGGAGCGAAAGCGUGGGUAGCAAACAGG